rnacentral:rRNA from 1 species
AGAGUUUGAUCCUGGCUCAGAAUGAACGCUGGCGGCGUGCUUAACACAUGCAAGUCGAACGGUAACAGGAGGAAGCUUGCUUCUUUGCUGACGAGUGGCGCACGGGUGAGUAAUGCAUAGGUAACGUGCCCCUUAGUCUGGGAUAGCCACUGGAAACGGUGAUUAAUACUGGAUACUCCUUCUCUCUUAAUGAGAGUUGGGAAACUUUUUGGCUAAGGGAUCGGCCUAUGUUGUAUCAGGUAGUUGGUGAGGUAAUGGCUCACCAAGCCUAUGACACCUAGCUGGUCUGAGAGGAUGAUCAGCCACACUGGAACUGAGACACGGUCCAGACUCCUACGGGAGGCAGCAGUGGGGAAUAUUGGACAAUGGGCGCAAGCCUGAUCCAGCCAUGCCGCGUGUGUGAAGAAGGCCUUCGGGUUGUAAAGCACUUUCAGUAGGGAGAAAGGGUUUAAGGUUAAUAGCCUUGAACAUUGAUGUUACCUACAGAAGCAGCACCGCUAACU